UACGUAGGGUGCAAGCGUUGUCCGGAAUUAUUGGGCGUAAAGAGCUCGUAGGCGGUUUGUCGCGUCGAAUGUGAAAACCCGGGGCUCAACCCCGGGCCUGCAUUCGAUACGGGCAGACUAGAGUUCGGUAGGGGAGUCUGGAAUUCCUGGUGUAGCGGUGAAAUGCGCAGAUAUCAGGAGGAACACCGGUGGCGAAGGCGGGACUCCGGGCCGAUACUGACGCUGAGGAGCGAAAGCGUGGGGAGCAAACAGG
rnacentral:rRNA from 1 species